rnacentral:ribozyme from 1 species
AAUGUAUACUAAAGUCAAACAACAAAAAACAUCAUGAAGAGAAGCAUUUUAAUUUCGAUGUCUUUUCUUUUUUUACUAUUUUUCUCUUCUUCUUCUUCUUCUUCUUCUUU